AACAUCUACUGCUUCUACCAAAGACCGAGGCACCAGAAGAGUUGUCUGCCCAAUUCCUUACAGUGAACCCAUAGAGCAGCCCCAGGACAGGGCCUUGGCAUUCUCAAGGGGCUAACUAUGUGGUUGGUGAUUAAGGAAACACCAUUGGGUACCUCCCCCAGUGCCUCCUGGGGAGAGCACACAGAGCAUUGGGCAUGUCUGGCCUCAACAAAUCUUGACCAAGCUAUGAGAAGAAAACCAGCUCAAGAGAACCAAGUGGAUGGGGAGGUUUCUCUAGAGGUCUCUUUGAGGCGCUGAGAGAACUGAGUUCCAGAUGAGGAGGAGGCAAUGCAUGCCUGUUUGAGCAGAGGAAACAGCACGUGGAAAAAUUCUGAGCCAGGUACAGGCCAGCAAAGUCAGACUUCCAUAUCUCCCAAUGCACUGUCCCAGCAUCGAGAGUCUGAUGUCUGAGCGCAGGCUGUAUUGAACAGAGUUUGGAGUCCCUGUUCCUGCCUCGGGAGAGGUUCCUAUCAACUAAGGUCCAGAUAAGGACUUCCAUGUGACUGCCCUCACAUAAGGUCUGCUUUGGAUGGUAGCAGGUGAGAUACCAUUGUUCCUAAGCUCAAGUUUGGUUCAGCAAAUGAAGAUGGUGACAUUUUGGUUGAGAAGGGGAGAGCCCAAAUAAAGACUUGUCCAGGA
rnacentral:lncRNA from 1 species